GCGAGUGAGCGGGAAGAGCUCAAAUUUGAAAUCUAGUAGCCUUCGGCUGCUCGAGUUGUAAUCUAGAGAAGUGUUUUCCGUGCCGGCCCAUGUACAAGUCCCUUGGAACAGGGCGUCAUAGAGGGUGAGAAUCCCGUCCUUGACAUGGACCCCCGGUGCUCUGUGAUACACUUUCAACGAGUCGAGUUGUUUGGGAAUGCAGCUCAAAAUGGGUGGUGAAUUCCAUCUAAAGCUAAAUAUUGGCGAGAGACCGAUAGCGAACAAGUACCGUGAGGGAAAGAUGAAAAGCACUUUGGAAAGAGAGUUAAACAGUACGUGAAAUUGUUGAAAGGGAAACGAUUGAAGUCAGUCAUGCUCUUUGGUAUUUAUAUCAUUGAGUGGGGUCAACAUCAGUUUUGAGCGAUGGAUAAAGGCACUAGGAAGGUAGCACUCUCGGGUGAACUUAUAGCCUAGCGUCAUAUACAUUGUUUGGGACUGAGGAACGCAGCAUGCCUUUAUGGCCGGGAUUC
rnacentral:rRNA from 1 species